rnacentral:piRNA from 1 species
UCUGAGAGAAUAAAGAGACAGAAUCCUGU